CACCACAUUCGGCCUGGUCGAAGUCGCGGCGGGCGCCCCCGAUCCGCUCCGCGCCACGCUCGAUGCGCUCAUCGAUCGGCAGCUCCAGCUGGUCGAGGUGAACCGGUAUCUGCCACCCGAGCCCCCGUCCAUUGCGAUCGACGAUCGCCUGGCGCAGGUCCGUCGCCGGUUCGCGACCGACGCG
rnacentral:misc_RNA from 1 species